rnacentral:rRNA from 1 species
UACGUAGGGGGCAAGCGUUGUCCGGAUUUAUUGGGCGUAAAGAGCUCGUAGGCGGCUUAGUAAGUCGGGUGUGAAACCUCCAGGCUCAACCUGGAGACGCCACCCGAUACUGCUGUGGCUAGAGUCCGGUAGGGGAGCGUGGAAUUCCUGGUGUAGCGGUGAAAUGCGCAGAUAUCAGGAGGAACACCAGCGGCGAAGGCGGCGCUCUGGGCCGGAACUGACGCUGAGGAGCGAAAGCGUGGGGAGCAAACAGG